CUUUUCGAGUAUAAUUUAAGGUCUGGCCUGCCCAAUGAGUUUUAAAUGGCCGCGGUAUUUUGACCGUGCAAAGGUAGCAUAAUCAUUAGUUUUUUAAUUGAAAGCUGGAAUGAAAGGUCGGAUGAGAAAAUAACUGUCUCUGUAAAAUUUAAUUAGAAUUUUAUAUUUAAGUUUAAAAGCUUAAAUUUAGCUAGAAGACGAGAAGACCCUAUAGAGUUUUAUUUAUUUUUGAUUGAUAAUUUUUUAGUAUUAAAUAUUUUUUCAUUAAAAUAAAUUUGGUUGGGGKGAUCGAAAAAYUUAUUAAACUUUUUUUAAUUUUUUACAUUAAUUUAUGAAUGUUUGAUCCUUUAAUAAAGAUUAUAAGAUAAAAUUACCUUAGGGAUAACAGCGUAAUUUUUUUAAAGAGUUCUAAUCGAAAAAAAAGAUUGCNACCUCGAUGUUGGAUUAAWAUAAAAUUUUGGUGUAGAAGCUAAA
rnacentral:rRNA from 1 species